CAGUAGCCACGGUAAAACGUAGGGUGCAAGCGUUAAUCGGAAUUACUGGGCGUAAAGCGUGCGCAGGCGGUUUGUUAAGACAGAUGUGAAAUCCCCGGGCUCAACCUGGGAACUGCAUUUGUGACUGGCAGGCUAGAGUAUGGCAGAGGGGGGUGGAAUUCCGCGUGUAGCAGUGAAAUGCGUAGAUAUGCGGAGGAACACCGAUGGCGAAGGCAGCCCCCUGGGCCAAUACUGACGCUCAUGCACGAAAGCGUGGGGAGCAAACAGGAUUAGAUACCCCUGUAGUCCCUGUCUCUUAUAC
rnacentral:rRNA from 1 species